rnacentral:rRNA from 1 species
UACGUAGGGGGGCAAGCGUUGUCCGGAAUUACUGGGCGUAAAGCGUGCGCAGGCGGCGCGUUAAGACAGGUGUGAAAGCCCCGAGCUUAACUUGGGAAUUGCGCUUGUGACUGGCGUGCUGGAGUGUGGCAGAGGGAGGUGGAAUUCCACGUGUAGCAGUGAAAUGCGUAGAGAUGUGGAGGAACACCGAUGGCGAAGGCAGCCUCCUGGGCCAGCACUGACGCUCAUGCACGAAAGCGUGGGGAGCAAACAGG